GAUGAACUCUGGCGGCGUGCCUAAUACAUGCAAGUCGAGCGAACAGACAAGGAGCUUGCUCCUUUGACGUUAGCGGCGGACGGGUGAGUAACACGUGGGUAACCUACCUAUAAGACUGGGAUAACUUCGGGAAACCGGAGCUAAUACCGGAUAAUAUUUCGAACCGCAUGGUUCGAUAGUGAAAGAUGGUUUUGCUAUCACUUAUAGAUGGACCCGCGCCGUAUUAGCUAGUUGGUAAGGUAACGGCUUACCAAGGCGACGAUACGUAGCCGACCUGAGAGGGUGAUCGGCCACACUGGAACUGAGACACGGUCCAGACUCCUACGGGAGGCAGCAGUAGGGAAUCUUCCGCAAUGGGCGAAAGCCUGACGGAGCAACGCCGCGUGAGUGAUGAAGGUCUUCGGAUCGUAAAACUCUGUUAUUAGGGAAGAACAUACGUGUAAGUAACUAUGCACGUCUUGACGGUACCUAAUCAGAAAGCCACGGCUAACUACGUGCCAGCAGCCGCGGUAAUACGUAGGUGGCAAGCGUUAUCCGGAAUUAUUGGGCGUAAAGCGCGCGUAGGCGGUUUUUUAAGUCUGAUGUGAAAGCCCACGGCUCAACCGUGGAGGGUCAUUGGAAACUGGAAAACUUGAGUGCAGGAGAGGAAAGUGGAAUUCCAUGUGUAGCGGUGAAAUGCGCAGAGAUAUGGAGGAACACCAGUGGCGAAGGCGACUUUCUGGUCUGUAACUGACGCUGAUGUGCGAAAGCGUGGGGAUCAAACAGGAUUAGAUACCCUGGUAGUCCACGCCGUAAACGAUGAGUGCUAAGUGUUAGGGGGUUUCCGCCCCUUAGUGCUGCAGCUAACGCAUUAAGCACUCCGCCUGGGGAGUACGACCGCAAGGUUGAAACUCAAAGGAAUUGACGGGGACCCGCACAAGCGGUGGAGCAUGUGGUUUAAUUCGAAGCAACGCGAAGAGCCUUACCAAAUCUUGACAUCCUUUGACAACUCUAGAGAUAGAGCUUUCCCCUUCGGGGGACAAAGUGACAGGUGGUGCAUGGUUGUCGUCAGCUCGUGUCGUGAGAUGUUGGGUUAAGUCCCGCAACGAGCGCAACCCUUAAGCUUAGUUGCCAUCAUUAAGUUGGGCACUCUAAGUUGACUGCCGGUGACAAACCGGAGGAAGGUGGGGAUGACGUCAAAUCAUCAUGCCCCUUAUGAUUUGGGCUACACACGUGCUACAAUGGACAAUACAAAGGGCAGCGAAACCGCGAGGUCAAGCAAAUCCCAUAAAGUUGUUCUCAGUUCGGAUUGUAGUCUGCAACUCGACUACAUGAAGCUGGAAUCGCUAGUAAUCGUAGAUCAGCAUGCUACGGUGAAUACGUUCCCGGGUCU
rnacentral:rRNA from 1 species